UGGAAGUAAUACUCAGCUUCAUAUUUGAAGAUACUCGAGUAUCUUAGCUGCAGGUAAAGGGUCUAAACAGUACUUGUACACUGUGGAAAUCCCAUAAGAACGUCUCCUGAACUCUGAAAAAUAACAAAACAAAGACUAAAAGGAGGUCAUGGGUGCUGAUGAUGAUGAUGAUGAAGAGGAGGAGUAGCAUGCAUUUAAAAAGUGACUGAUGUCCUAGAAUACAACAGAACAGUUUCUCUACAAACUUAUGAAAACAUGACAGUCUUGCAUUAGUUUGUAUUCUUAUGAUUUCAAAAAACGAGGGAAAAAUCUCCUUGAAAUCCACAAUUCCUUUUUGUUAUUUCUUAGUGUGUGACGUAUUUUAUUGCCUUUAUGAUUGGUGCAAACAGUUUCCUGAUUCAUAAUGGAAAUAGAUUUUAGACACAGGAGGAACACGCAGUGAUCAGCAGGAGCAGCUUGGAGUCCAGUCUUCUUCACACUGAGGAGGGACAUA